rnacentral:lncRNA from 1 species
CAUGGUGUGGGUCCUGUCUACAGCUCUCCAGGAAGGCAGCAAGAGAGAGGAAAGCUCGAUGCAGACAUGCAUGCCCUUCACAUGCUGCUGAUGGCAUAAUUUACCCGGCAGCUGUCACAGCUGUUGCCCCUUAGCCCCAAAUACCUGGGCUGGCAACGUCUGUGUGGGGGGAGCUGGGGCCAGAGCUUUGGGGCAGCUGCGUCUGAGCUCUGGGCUGGGAAAGCUGCGCCUUUGCUCCGUGCUCAGCGCGCUGGGGUUACGGCUCUGCAGGGAAGAACAAGCUCCCAGGGCAAAGCUGCCGCGUGGUUUGUGCUGCCCAACCUUUGGAGUCCCAGGGGACUCCUUGGAGAGGCUGCAUGCAGGAAACCUCCUAUUAGUUAUUACGUGGUUACCAUUUGGUUAGUAUUUGCUAUUAACCUAUUAGCC